GACGAACGCUGGUGGCGUGCUUAACACAUGCCAGUUGAACGGAAAGGCCCUGCUUUUGUGGGGUGCUCGAGUGGCGAACGGGUGAGUAACACGUGAGUAACCUGCCCUUGACUUUGGGAUAACUUCAGGAAACUGGGGCUAAUACCGGAUAGGAGCUCCUGCUGCAUGGUGGGGGUUGGAAAGUUUCGGCGGUUGGGGAUGGACUCGCGGCUUAUCAGCUUGUUGGUGGGGUAGUGGCUUACCAAGGCUUUGACGGGUAGCCGGCCUGAGAGGGUGACCGGCCACAUUGGGACUGAGAUACGGCCCAGACUCCUACGGGAGGCAGCAGUGGGGAAUAUUGCACAAUGGGCGGAAGCCUGAUGCAGCAACGCCGCGUGCGGGAUGACGGCCUUCGGGUUGUAAACCGCUUUCGCCUGUGACGAAGCGUGAGUGACGGUAAUGGGUAAAGAAGCACCGGCUAACUACGUG
rnacentral:rRNA from 1 species